GAGCAUGAACUGUGUAUGUGCGAGGCAAGACAAGCCAUUGUCAGAUCAGGAAAUUAUGAAUCUCUGUUUGUUCCUGUGCAGGACAUUUGCCUUUAUGGAACUGAAACAGGAAAGAAAAUGCUGCAGGUACAUUAGGAUCUGCUGGACAAGAUAUCAGAGAAGACUAAAAUCAGUAUGGAUGAAGCAAGUAUUACAAGCUUCUGCUUAUGCACAAUCUUUGAGAUAA
rnacentral:lncRNA from 1 species